GGAGAGGUGGCAGAGCGGUUGAAUGCGGCGGUCUUGAAAACCGUUGGGGGCUUGCGCCUCCCGGGGGUUCGAAUCCCUCCCUCUCCGCCA
rnacentral:tRNA from 1 species